rnacentral:rRNA from 1 species
GACGAACGCUGGCGGCGUGCUUAACACAUGCAAGUCGAACGGUGAACCCGCUUCGGUGGGGGAUCAGUGGCGAACGGGUGAGUAACACGUGGGCAACCUGCCCCCGGCUCUGGGAUAACU